rnacentral:rRNA from 1 species
UACGUAGGGCGCAAGCGUUGUCCGGAAUUAUUGGGCGUAAAGAGCUCGUAGGCGGUCCAUCGCGUCGGGAGUGAAAAGCUGGGGCUUAACCCCAGUCCUGCUUCCGAUACGGGUGGACUAGAGGUAGGUAGGGGAGAUCGGAAUUCCUGGUGUAGCGGUGAAAUGCGCAGAUAUCAGGAGGAACACCGGUGGCGAAGGCGGAUCUCUGGGCCUUACCUGACGCUGAGGAGCGAAAGCAUGGGGAGCAAACAGG